rnacentral:lncRNA from 1 species
CAUAAAAAACAGUAAAAUAGGAGAAAACCAAACAAACAAAUCAAACAUAUGCACUAUUUUCAUAUUAAAAAUCAAACAAAUAGUAACACAGACAGAUAUGAAACUUGAAACAACUGAUCGGAUCGAAACCACGACGCCAAUGACCUUGACAAGAAUUCAAAUCGUAAACGCCAACAGAAAUGUAACGCAAUGACAGUUGCACUUACUUUUCGAGAUUUAAUCAAAUUUCGGACAUAAAACAGAGAUAUAAAGGAGAGGGGAUUGACCUGAGCAAUAUUACUUUAACUAGUUUGAUUUGCAAAGCAAUUACAAGCCGAAUCCAAACUGUAACAGCAACGAAGAAUUCGACCAUGAACCUCGGACGGCGACGAACCAGCUUCAAA